rnacentral:rRNA from 1 species
AUUGAACGCUGGCGGCAUGCCUUACACAUGCAAGUCGAACGGUAACAGGUCUUCGGAUGCUGACGAGUGGCGAACGGGUGAGUAAUACAUCGGAACGUGCCCGAUCGUGGGGGAUAACGAAGCGAAAGCUUUGCUAAUACCGCAUACGAUCUACGGAUGAAAGCAGGGGACCGCAAGGCCUUGCGCGAACGGAGCGGCCGAUGGCAGAUUAGGUAGUUGGUGGGAUAAAAGCUUACCAAGCCGACGAUCUGUAGCUGGUCUGAGGGGACGACCAGCCACACUGGGACUGAGACACGGCCCAGACUCCUACGGGAGGCAGCAGUGGGGAAUUUUGGACAAUGGGCGAAAGCCUGAUCCAGUCAUGCCGCGUGCAGGAUGAAGGCCUUCGGGUUGUAAACUGCUUUUGUACGGAACGAAAAGACUCUGGUUAAUACCUGGGGUCCAUGACGGUACCGUAAGAAUAAGCACCGGCUAACUACGUG